rnacentral:rRNA from 1 species
UACGUAGGGGGCAAGCGUUGUCCGGAUUUAUUGGGCGUAAAGAGCGUGUAGGCGGCUUUACAGGUCCGUUGUGAAAACUCGAGGCUCAACCUCGAGACGCCGGUGGAAACCGUAAGGCUAGAGUCCGGAAGAGGAGAGUGGAAUUCCUGGUGUAGCGGUGAAAUGCGCAGAUAUCAGGAAGAACACCCGUGGCGAAGGCGGCGUCUCUGGGACGGUACUGACGCUGAGACG